AGCGAACGCUGGCGGCAUGCCUAACACAUGCAAGUCGCACGGGGGGGCUUCGGCCUCCCAGUGGCGGACGGGUGAGGAACGCGUAGGGACCUGUCGAGGGGUGGGGGAUAACCGCGGGAAACUGCGGCUAAUACCGCAUGACGCCGCGGCGUGACAGCCGGGGCCAAAGGCGAAAGCCGCCCGCCGAGGGGCCUGCGUCCGAUUAGCCGGUUGGCGGGGUAGCGGCCCACCAAGGCGUCGAUCGGUAGCUGGUCUGAGAGGGUGAUCAGCCACACCGGGACUGAGACACGGCCCGGACUCCUACGGGAGGCAGCAGUGGGGAAUAUUGGACAAUGGGCGCAAGCCUGAUCCAGCAAUGCCGCGUGGGUGAAGAAGGUCUUCGGAUUGUAAAGCCCUUUCGGCGGGGACGAUGGUGACGGUACCCGCAGAAGAAGCCCCGGCUAACUUCGUG
rnacentral:rRNA from 1 species